rnacentral:rRNA from 1 species
UACGUAGGGGGCAAGCGUUGUCCGGAUUUAUUGGGCGUAAAGAGCGUGUAGGCGGCCAGGUAGGUCAGCUGUGAAAACUCGAGGCUCAACCUCGAGACGUCGGUUGAAACCACCUGGCUAGAGUCCGGAAGAGGAGAGUGGAAUUCCGCGUGUAGCAGUGAAAUGCGUAGAUAUGCGGAGGAACACCGAUGGCGAAGGCAAUCCCCUGGCCUGCACUGACGCUCAUGCACGAAAGCGUGGGGAGCAAACAGG